rnacentral:rRNA from 1 species
CCUACGGGUGGCAGCAGUGGGGAAUAUUGCACAAUGGGGGAAACCCUGAUGCAGCGACGCCGCGUGAGUGAAGAAGUAUUUCGGUAUGUAAAGCUCUAUCAGCAGGGAAGAAAAUGACGGUACCUGAUUAAGAAGCACCGGCUAACUACGUGCCAGCAGCCGCGGGAAUACGUAGGGGGCAAGCGUUAUCCGGAUGUACUGGGUGUAAAGGGAGCGUAGACGGCAGCACAAGUCUGGAGUGAAAUGCCGGGGCUUAACCCCGGAACUGCUUUGGAAACUGUGCAGCUAGAGUGCCGGAGAGGUAAGUGGAAUUCCUAGUGUAGCGGUGAAAUGCGUAGAUAUGAGGAGGAACACCAGUGGCGAAGGCGGCAUACUGGACUGUAACUGACGUUGAGGCUCGAAAGCGUGGGGAGCAAACAGGAUUAGAUACCCCAGUAGUCC